rnacentral:rRNA from 1 species
CAGUAGCCGCGGGAAUACGAAGGGGGCUAGCGUUGCUCGGAAUCACUGGGCGUAAAGGGUGCGUAGGCGGGUCUUUAAGUCAGAGGUGAAAUCCUGGAGCUCAACUCCAGAACUGCCUUUGAUACUGAGGAUCUUGAGUUCGGGAGAGGUGAGUGGAACUGCGAGUGUAGAGGUGAAAUUCGUAGAUAUUCGCAAGAACACCAGUGGCGAAGGCGGCUCACUGGCCCGAUACUGACGCUGAGGCACGAAAGCGUGGGGAGCAAACAGGAUUAGAUACCCCCGUAGUCCCUGUCUCUUAUAC